CAGGCACCGCACUCUCCGGGCGUCAGCCAGGAUUCCUCCAGAUCAAGCUCGGUGUGUCCUCGGAGGAGAACCACUGCCUAUGGUGCGCACCUGUCACCCUCAUCUUGUGACCGGGAGAGAAGCAUGGCUUAGAGCCAUGAGAGUGCUUUUAUCUUCCUCACCAAAGGACUAUUCCACAUCAAAACACGAAGAACUUUAUCUUGGCCUUCACUCUGUCAGACACAGAUAAAUCCUGGCAUAAUGUCCAGUAACCAUCGUCAUACAUGUAACUAAAGACCAUGACACCCUGGAGCCUUGUAACAGGAGGAAAACAUCUAGUGCACCGUGGAUCACUUACACGGGGGUCUGUUUCUCCACGCUGCACUCUGGUAUGGAUGUAGACAUUCAAGACACAAUAAAGCUUGAGGUCAGCCUACAGAUGCA